rnacentral:rRNA from 1 species
UACGUAGGGUGCAAGCGUUAAUCGGAAUUACUGGGCGUAAAGCGUGCGCAGGCGGUUUUGUAAGUCUGACGUGAAAUCCCCGGGCUCAACCUGGGAAUUGCGAUGGAGACUGCAAGGCUUGAAUCUGGCAGAGGGGGGUAGAAUUCCACGUGUAGCAGUGAAAUGCGCAGAGAUGUGGAGGAACACCGAUGGCGAAGGCAGCCCCCUGGGUCAAGAUUGACGCUCAUGCACGAAAGCGUGGGGAGCAAACAGG